GUAAACGAUGAGUGCUAAGUGUUGGAGGGGUUUCCCCNUCAGUGCUGCAGCUAACGCAUUAAGCACUCCGCCUGGGGAGUACGACCGCAAGGUUGAAACUCAAAGGAAUUGACGGGGGCCCGCACAAGCGGUGGAGCAUGUGGUUUAAUUCGAAGCAACGCGAAGAACCUUACCAGGUCUUGACAUCCUCUGACAACCCUAGAGAUAGGGCUUUCCCUUCGGGGACAGAGUGACAGGUGGUGCAUGGUUGUCGUCAGCUCGUGUCGUGAGAUGUUGGGUUAAGUCCCGCAACGAGCGCAACCCUUGUCGUUAGUUGCCAUCAUUCAGUUGGGCACUCUAGCGAGACGUGACAAACCGGAGGAAGGUGGGGAUGACGUCAAAUCAUCAUGCCCCUUAUGACCUGGGCUACACACGUGCUACAAUGGACGGUACAACGAGCAGCGAACUCGCGAGGGCAAGCGAAUCUCUUAAAGCCGUUCUCAGUUCGGAUUGCAGGCUGCAACUCGCCUGCAUGAAGCCGGAAUCGCUAGUAAUCGUGGAUCAGCAUGCCACGGUGAAUACGUUCCCGGGCCUUGUACACACCGCCCGUCACACCACGAGAGUUUGUAACACCCAAAGUCGGUGCGGUAACCUUUUGGAGCCAGCCGCCUAAGGUGGGAUAGAUGAUUGGGGUG
rnacentral:rRNA from 1 species